rnacentral:rRNA from 1 species
UGAACGCUAGCUACAGGCUUUAACACAUGCAAGUCCGAGGGGGAAACGAUAUUGGAAGCUUGCUUCUGAUAGGCGUCGACCGGCGCACGGGUGAGUAACACGUAUCCAACCUGCCGUCUACUCUUGGACAGCCUUCUGAAAGGAAGAUUAAUACAAGAUGGCAUCAUGAGUCCGCAUGUUCACAUGAUUAAGGUAUUCCGGUAGACGAUGGGGAUGCGUUCCAUUAGAUAGUAGGCGGGGUAACGGCCCACCUAGCCUACGAUGGAUAGGGGUUCUGAGAGGAAGGCCCCCACAUUGGAACUGAGACACGGUCCAAACUCCUACGGGAGGCAGCAGUGAGGAAUAUUGGUCAAUGGACGAGAGUCUGAACCAGCCAAGUAGCGUGAAGGAUGAAGGUCUUACGGAUUGUAAACUUCUUUUAUAAGGGAAUAAACCCUCCCACGUGUGGGAGCUUGUAUGUACCUUAUGAAUAAGCAUCGGCUAACUCCGUG